UCCGUCUGUGAAGUUUGUGUAGGAUCUAUAUGUGUAUGUGUUAUCGGAGUUUCAAUUCGUUAAAAUUCAAGAAGUUGGUGUUCAUCUGCCAGACUCCAGGUCUUGAUCGCUGGUUCUGCAGAAAACAUCAGUAGCUUUUAGUGAAAGGACAAAAUAUGAAGAAGCGACAGAUGCCGAAAUAAUACAAAGUGUUACCCAUACGGAUAUGGUUUGAUGACUUCAGAUAGUGGACGGAAUAAAAAGAUUGCCAGUAGCCAACGACAAUAUCCGUUUCAAUUAUCUGCAGAUCCUGAUGACGAAG